ensembl:lncRNA
AUGAAUCAUAUUCAGUCUACAACACUGUUCAUAGUUGAAUCUAUGAAUCGUAUUCAGUCUACAACACUGUUCAUAGUUGAAUCUAUGAAUCGUAUUCAGUCUACAACACUGUUCAUAGUUGAAUCUAUGAAUCGUAUUCAGUCUACAACACUGUUCAUAGUUGAAUCUAUGAAUCGUAUUCAGUCUACAGAUCUAAUGUUAUUGGUCACAUACGCGUGUUUAGCUGAUGUUAUUGCAGGUGCAGUGAAAUGCUUGUCAACACCCAGUUCUUUGUUUUUAAACCCUUUCAGUUGUUUGUGUUGUUUUGGUUGGUCGUCAUGGGUUACUGCUAGCCAGCCCAGUGAAGUGAAUGUUACAGUACAUCAUCAGACCAGACUGAGACACGUCUACUACUACACACACACACACACACACACACACACACACACUCUGUGUGGUUAUAGUACAUCAUCAGACCAGACUGAGACACGUCUACUACACACACACACACACACACACACACACACACACACACACACACACACACACACUCUGUGUGGUUAUAGUACAUCACCAGACCGAGACACGUCUACUACACACACACACACACACACUCUGUGUGGUUAUAGUACAUCAUCAGACCAGACUGAGACACGUCUACUACACACACACACACACACACACACACACACACACACACACUCUGUGUGGUUAUAG